rnacentral:rRNA from 1 species
UUCCGGUUGAUCCCGCCGGACCCCACUGCUAUCGAGAUGGGACUAAAGUAUGCUAAUCGAACGACCAGAACUAUGUCUGGAAGUGGCACACUGCUCAGUAACACGUAGCUAACCUACCCUUAGGACGUGGAUACCCCCGAGAAAUUGGGGUUAAUCCGCGAUAGGUGUAAUGUCCUGGAAUGGUAUUACGUCUAAAGGUAUUUCAUACAUGUUUGAAAUAUGCCUAAGGAUGGGGCUGCAGCCGAUCAGGCUGUUGGUGAGGUAAUGGCUCACCAAACCUUUGACCGGUACGGGCCAUGAGAGUGGUAGCCCGGAGAUGGACACUGAGACAAGGGUCCAGGCCCUAAGGGGCGCAGCAACCGCGAAACCUCCACAAUGCACUCACGUGCGAUGGGGCUAUCUCGAGUGCCACCUGAUGAAGGUGGCUUUUCCUUGGUCUUCAAAGCCUUGGGAAUAAGAGGGGGGCAAGACUGGUGUCAGCCGCCGCGGUAACACCAGCCCCUCGAGUGGUGGGGAUGAUUAUUUGGCCUAAAGCGUCCGUAGCCGGCCGUGAAAGUCUUCCGUUAAAUCCAGCGUCUCAAGCGUUGGACCGCGGGAGAUACUACAUGGCUAGAGAGUGGGAGAGGUCAGCGGUAUUCUGGGGGUAGGGGCGAAAUCCUUUGAUCCCCGGAGGACCACCAGUGGCGAAGGCUGCUGACUAGAACACGUCUGACGGUCAGGGACGAAAG